CUUUAAAUGGAAUGAAACUUGUGCAGAAGAAAUCGAGGAAAACCAUUUUGAACUGCUGUUACUUAUUAGCUGUUAGAGCGGAUCCAGUUCUUCAUCAAUGGUAUACGAUGGGACAAUUGGCUGUUAAAAAUCCACAAGCCAUACUAUCUGCAAAAAUUAUGGUUGACAGAAAAAAGCUUUAAAUGGAAUGAAACUUGUGCGUUAUUUUUCUUCAAUUGUACAAUUGCUGUUAGAAGUUAACAAGUAGUACUAGUUGCAGAUAAUAUAUUAUAGUAGACAUCAAAAAGGCUUUAAAUGGAAUGAAACUUGCAGGAAAAAUAAAGAAAACCAUUUUAGACUGUAUACAUAAUAGCUGUUAGAGUGGAUGCAGUCCUUCAUCAAUGUGAGCUGAACAAAUUGAUGGUAAUGGACAUUUUGACAGCUGCUGUCACAACUCAACGAACAAGUUGCAGCUUUGAAGGAAAAUUUUUGAUUGGAUACAGAAAAAUGUCAGUCGUUUCAGGAUGUAAAGUUAAUAGAACCAGGGUUGGGCUCGACAUCCGUUGUCUUUUAAUAAUGGUAUACGAAAGGACAAUAAUUGCUGUUAGAAAUUAAUAAGUCGUACUAGCUGCAAUUAAUAUUUAUGGUGGUCAUCAAAGAGAUUUAAAUGGAAUGAAACUUGUACAGGAGAAAUCAAGGAACACCAUUUUGAGAACUGUUGUUACUUAAUCGCUGCUAGAGCGGACCCAGUUCUUCAUCAAUGGUAUAUGCUGGGACAAUUGCUGUUAAAAAUCCACAAGCUGUACUAUCUGCAAAUAUUAUGAUGGACAUCAAAAAACUUUAAGUGGAAUGAAACUUGCAGGAAAACACUCAGAAAGACCAUUUAGGACUGUACUUAAUAGCUGUUGAAAAGUGGUCGCAGUCCUUUAUCAAUGAUAUCUCUGCAUUUUCUUAACAAUGGAUAUCCCCAACAGUUGCUCCUACUUCCUCACUUUCCUCUUUCACUCGACAUAAAGCAGACUCAAUACUCCUCAAUGCCUCACCAAGGUUCGUUAGCUUCAUUAAUAGUGUUAUUGUUUCAAUAAAUUUGUUUAUUGGUUUUUAUCCUCUUACUAUAUAAUUACAUCAGGCGUCAUUUUAAUGUUAAUUUUUUGUAAAAUUUUGAUAAUCUGGAUAGAAACCUUUAUUUUUUCUUAAGCUUUUGCAAUGUAAAACACUAGUUAAGAGCAAUACACUUUAUUUUAUGAAUAAGACCAUUAUCCCUGUUGAUAUUGUCUUUAUAUUUAUGCUUUGUGUUGUCUCUAGUUUGAGGGAUGUUUGAUUAAUUUUAAAUCAUUCAAAUCAAUGCAAUAAUCUUUAUGGAGGAUAUGUUGAGCAACAUAAUACUAAUCUGUUAUAAUUUUUCAUUUCAAGCUUUUUUUCAAUCUCACCUAUCUUAUAUUUUACUUCCAUUAGUUCAAUCAUUAAAUUGUUAUUAAAUAAAACUAUAUUAUAUUCUGGAUUUCGUCAAAGGUAUUUUAAAAGAUUUAAAAAACAAUCUUUAUAGGGUUGUAUCAUUUCCAAUUUAUUUUAUCUUUUAUUUAAUUAUAUAACUAACUUCUGAAUUAUAUAACUAAACUUCUCUAAGUUUAUUCCAGAUUAUCAAAAUUAUAAUUUUUAUACUUGCGCAGCUGCGUCACUAUAGCUCUAUGAACACAAGUAUUAUUUUGGUUUUAAAGUUUAUAUUUUUUAAUAUUUCAUUUAUUGUAUUAACGCAAAACUAAAUUUUAUAGAAUUUAACUAACUAUAUCUUCAACCGGAUGAUAAUUUAAUAGUUAAUGGUCAUUUAAUAUUUUUUCAUAAACAUUAAAUGUGAUUAUUGAAUAUCAAUGUUAAGCCAGUAGAAAUGAUUUAUUCGUGUUUAUUUUUUUGAAAUAUUUUUUUUUAUUAAAUCAAUUUUGGAUACUUGUGUUCAUAUAGUUUUUUUUUGCUUUUGAGAAUUAUUUUUGGUACCCUAACACAGAUGUUUUUAAUCAAUUUAUAUGAUUUUAAAAUAUGUUUAUAUCUAUUUUGUAUUUAAAUUUUAGCGAUAAAGUUUGUUUCUUUAACACAGAGCAAUGCACUUCAUGCAUUGUUUUCUUUUUUAUGUGCAGAAUUCUCUUUAUAUACAGUAUGUCCUCAGAACGUCUUUACAAGAGCAAAAGCUUUUUUUUGAAUAUUUUCAUAAAAAAUACAUUUCUUAUAAAAAUAUUUUUCUUUUUAAUAUUUUCAUUUUAAUUUAUUUAACAAAUAUAUUGUGUGAGCAUAUUCGUAGAUAUACUGUGCGAUUCAAGUAUAUUUAUACUAAAAUUGUUUUUUUUAAUGCAAUAAAAGUAAUCCAAUCAAAAUUGCAUAAAUUAGUUGUUUUAGAAGAGUUCAAUUGAAAAUAAAUACAUGAAUUUUAACCUUUAGUAUUACUGGUUGCCUAAUCGAUUCUUAUGUAAUGUUGUGGUAAUGUUCUUAUUAUUUAAAAAAAUCUUAUUUCCAGUAGUAAUUUUUUCUCUCAAUUUUAGUAUUUAAAAUGUCUCUGAAAAAUACAAACUGAUGUUUGCUAUGUGUUAAUAAAAUCGUUACACUUGCGUUUAAGAUAAUUAAUUACUGCUAUAUAAUUUUUUUAUAAAAUAUGAAACAAACUUUAUCUCUUAAAAUUUAUGAAUUUUACAUAUGAAAAUGGUCUGCUAGGGUAUAUAAUAUAUUUAUUGUAGGAUCAAUUGAAAUAUCAUAAGCCAUGAUAUAAAAAUUAACACUUGUAUAUACAUAUUUGUUAAAUAUAUAAUUUUAAGAUAAAACACAUUUUUACACAAAAAUAAUAAUUCUAGUUUUAUAUGUGGCAUAUCGUUUUUCAGUUGGUCCUUCAACAUUUAAAAUCUUUUGGCAUAGAAUUCAUUCCACUUAAAUGUCCCAAAAAGAUAUAUUUUAAUACCAGUUUUGUAUGUUAUUUGGUGUAUUAGAAUUUUAUAAAUAUUGUUUUUAAUAUUUUGUUAAUAAUAGUGAUCUAUAGCUUACCUUUGCUAUCUGUAAUAGGAAAUAUUUCUAAAUAUUUUUUGUUGAAAAUGAAUAUUACUUUAUAACAUUUAUUAAGCAAAAUAAAUUUGAAGAUCCCUAUUAUUAUCAAAGAGAUAUCAUUAAAGUAUUUCAAUACAAUAUCUUUUUUUUCAAACGUCACAAAACUCUUAAUUUUUGCGACAUGACAACAAAGAUUGACAUAUAAAAAAGUAAUUUUUACGCUUGUGCGCUUAAACAAAGGCUUAAACACAAAAGUGCUAAAAUUAUUAUUAAACUGACAAAUUUAACAAGCGUAACCAUAGUUUCUCGAUAUAUAAUUACUUACAACAUAUUACUUUUAAAUAUUUUUAUAUUUUUGCAACGUUUGAAAAAAGAACAUGUUCUAUUCGGAGUAAAAAUGACUUAGUGUCUCGCCUGUACUGUCGAACGUACAGUCUCGCCGCAAAAAGUAUCAUUUUUACUCCUAAUAAAACAAUAUACCGUAUGAUCGAAAAAAAAAACGGCGUCCAGUUGGCUUGGAAAUGAACAUCAAUUACAUUUGCCAUAUAAUUUUAUAUAUAAAAUUACAGCGAUCUUCAUUUCAUAGCCAUCGCCGACGCCAUUUUUAUUCGAUAAUGUUGUACUAUUUCUGUACAAAUGUUAUCUGUUUUCUAUAUAAUAUUAUUGUGAUCUAUUGCUGUAUUUUUGUUAUAAAAUUGCUUUGAAUACAUCUAUAUUUUGUAAGCGUUUUAGAGGUUCCGAGCACUAUGUUUACAGUCAUUUCUUUUUUCAUUUUAAAUAUUUUUUUGUCGUGUCUAAUAAUUAAUCAGCUAAUUAAGAGUGUUUUUUUAGUAGGUAAAAAAGAAUAAUUUAUAUUACCAGAGUGGCCCAAUGUUACAAAAAUAAUCAUGUUAGGUCUUCACUUUGAAAUUUUCACUAAAUUUUUUUUAUAAAACAUACGGGUUACAGUAGAUCAUAUUUUAAAGUCAGUUCGUAGAAAUACACAGGGUGUUUUUAAUAUAUUUUUGCUUUAUAUUGGUAGUAUUUAAAUGCAAUGUUAUUCAAAUUUUAAUUCUAUUGUUAUUUUAGAUUUUUCCUGUACAUUUUUAAAGCUUUCACAAAUUUAUAAAGUCGUAUUUUUUUUAAUUGAAAAUCUACAUAUAUAAAAUGCUAAUGUUUAUCUGUGUCGUCUCUACU